rnacentral:rRNA from 1 species
AUGACCGUGCUAAGGUAGCAUAACAUUUGUCCCUUAAUUGGGGACUGGUAUGAACGGCUGAACAAGAAAUUGACUGUCUCUGCUAUAAAUUUUGAAAUUAACGUUUAAGUGAAAAGGCUUAAAUGAGAUAGGGGGACGAUAAGACCCUAUAAAUCUUGAUGGUCAAAAUAUUAAUUUUUAUGUAGUAGUUAUAAGCUUAAAUUUAAUACUUUGACUAUUUUGUUGGGGCGACAGGGGUAUAAUUAGUAACUGCUUUGAAUAAAGAAUUAAUUAUUUUUAUUGUGUUGUGUUUGAGAUCCUUCUUUGAAGAUAUCAGAUCAAGUUACUUUAGGGAUAACAGCGUAAUCUUCUUUGAGAGUCCAUAUCGAAAGGAGG